CUAUCGCCUGGGUUAGGGAUUGACGUGGAAAUCCUUUUUUUUAAUAAACUUAUCUCUGUACCUCUUAUUAAAAUAAAAUAUCUUAUGAAUUUAGUAGAUGCUGAAAUAAAUUCAGCAUAAAAAAAGAUUGGAGCAUAAAGCCCGACCGCGC
rnacentral:sRNA from 1 species